GUGCUUGCUUCGGCAGCACAUAUACUAAAAUUGGGACGCCGCAGAGGAUUAGCAUGGCCCCUGCGCAAGGAUGACCCAAAAAUUCGUGAAGCGUUCCACAUUUUU